CGCAUUCACCAACAUGUGGCAAUUAUACGUUAAUGUAUUUAUUAUCUCCAAGAUGGACAAUCAGUGUACAUGUGAAAACUUUUUAUGUUCCAAUUACCGAUUAUUUGCAACGCAUUCACCAACAUGUGGCAAUUAUACUUUCAAGUAUUUAUUAUCACCAAGAUGGACAAUUAUUGUAUGUUUCAAAACUUUUUUUGAUUGAGUGAAACCGGAAAACUUUCACGUCGAACAUCUGGUUUGCUUAUUGCAGCCAACACUCUAAUCUUAGUCCGGACUUAAAAUAGCGAUUAGACAUGUUAUCGGAUUUGGUAUGUUUUUCAUUUUUAUUAUGGAGUUUAUCCUAAUGGCGAAAUUUUGGUUUCUUUUGCCUAAGAGCUGUAUCUCCGAUUUUAUCACUUUUGAUAAAUUUGUUCAGUAUAAUGUUCAGUUAGGUUGAGUCAUCAAUUUGAACAUAAUGGCGAAUAAUUUAUUUUUAUGCAGUUUAAAUUGCGUUUCAAAUAUACCUACAUACCGGCUUACUUCUAUACGCAUAUCUAUUAUAAUUAAUUAAUAAUAAACAUUGAACAAUAGGUGGUUUCCUGUGAAA